rnacentral:rRNA from 1 species
GAUGAACGCUGGCGGCGUGCCUAAUACAUGCAAGUCGAGCGAACAGACGAGGAGCUUGCUCCUCUGACGUUAGCGGCGGACGGGUGAGUAACACGUGGAUAACCUACCUAUAAGACUUGGAUAACUUCGGGAAACCGGAGCUAAUACCGGAUAAUAUAUUGAACCGCAUGGUUCAAUAGUGAAAGACGGUUUUGCUGUCACUUAUAGAUGGAUCCGCGCCGCAUUAGCUAGUUGGUAAGGUAACGGCUUACCAAGGCAACGAUGCGUAGCCGACCUGAGAGGGUGAUCGGCCACACUGGAACUGAGACACGGUCCAGACUCCUACGGGAGGCAGCAGUAGGGAAUCUUCCGCAAUGGGCGCAAGCCUGACGGAGCAACGCCGCGUGAGUGAUGAAGGUCUUCGGAUCGUAAAACUCUGUUAUUAGGGAAGAACAAAUGUGUAAGUAACUAUGCACGUCUUGACGGUACCUAAUCAGAAAGCAACGGCUAACUACGUG